rnacentral:sRNA from 1 species
UGCGGGGAAGGAUGAGAAGCUUCGACCAAGGUUCGACUCGAGCGCCAGCGAGAGAGCGUUGCCGCAGGCAACGACCCGAAGGGCGAAGCGCGCAGCGCUGAGUAAUCCUUCCCCCACCACCA